rnacentral:lncRNA from 1 species
UGGGAUUAAUUGUAAUCAACAUAUUCCAAUGAGACUGAAAAAUGCUUUUUUUUAUUAUGAUAAAUAAUAAUUUUACCUGCCGUAGUCGUGCGUAAAAUAUAUUUCGGUAUUUCUCUUACGAAAAUGACUUGUUUAAUGGAACAAAACGUAUUAUUUGUAAACUUUCUCUUAACUCUUCACAAUAGGCUUUUAAAAAUAACCUUUCAACUGUAUAUUCCGAAAAUUUUGUGAAAAUCGAAUAAGUGGCAAUUCUUAGCUUUCAUACCUUAACUUUCAUUGAUAAAACAUAAUAUUGACUCGUCCAGUGUCCAGUUUGAAGGUCAUUUUAGUUAUUGUACACAUUCAUGCACGUUCUAAUUAAUCAAUAGUCAUGUAUGAAAAGCAUAAACAAGUUUGAAGGUAAACUAAUAACAACUUAAUCCAAUCAAAUUGCCUACGAUUCAAUAACAAUGACCAGUCCACAUCAGAAAAAUGUAUAGGGGUAAACUGGGUAGGGAGAAAAUGUC